rnacentral:rRNA from 1 species
UACGUAGGGUGCAAGCGUUGUCCGGAAUUAUUGGGCGUAAAGAGCUCGUAGGCGGUCUGUCGCGUCUGCUGUGAAAACUCAGGGCUUAACCCUGAGCUUGCAGUGGGUACGGGCAGACUAGAGUGCGGUAGGGGAGACUGGAAUUCCUGGUGUAGCGGUGAAAUGCGUAGAUAUCGCUUGGAACGCCGAAGGUGAAAACAGGUCGCUGGGGAUGUGCCGACGCUGAGACACGAAAGCCAGGGGAGCAAACGGG